rnacentral:rRNA from 1 species
AGCGAACGCUGGCGGUAGGCCUAACACAUGCAAGUCGAACGGCAGCACAGUAAGAGCUUGCGCUUACGGGGGGGGAGUGCCGGACGGGUGGGGAAUAAUUAGGAACCUACUUUUUCGUGGGGGAUAACGUAGGGAAACUUACGCUAAUACCGCAUACGACCUACGGGUCGAAUCAUGGGUUCUUCGAACAUCGCGCUAUCGAAUGGGCUGGUGUCGGAUUAGCUAGUUGGCGGGGUAGAGGGCUACCAAGGCGACGAUCCGUAGCUGGUCUGGGAGGAUGAUCAGCCACACUGGAACUGAGACACGACCCAGACUCCUACGGGAGGCAGCAGUGGGGAAUAUUAGACAACUGGCGCAAGCCUGAUCCAGCCAUACCGCGUGGGGGAAGAUGGACUUCUGGUGGUAAAGCCCUUUUGUUGGGAAAGAAGAGCAGCAGGUUAAUACCCGGGUGUUCUGACGGUAGCUAAAGAAUAAGCACCGGCUAACUUCGUG